GGGAAAUGUAGUUUCGUCCUUCCGCCGGUCCUGGCUUGUUCUCCCCCAAAAAACUAACCCCGAGCUAUUUGUUGCACAGAAUGUGCUUUCCAAAUCACUGUCGUCAGAAGACUGAGAGGCCUUGGCAUCAAUCUCUAAGGAGAUGAGGGACCCUGCUCAAACUCUGUGUAACCUUGGCCAGUCACUUGGCUACUCUGUGUCUUCUCACCAUCUAUACAACAGGUUAAUAAUAGCAUCAAAUGCCUGAGAUUUUUGUAAGGAUAAGAUAAAUGUUGACUCCAUAGUAAAUACUCAAAAAAUAUUAACCAUAAAUAUGAUUAUUUUUA